UGGAAGUCAAGGGUGAGGCAAGAGGUGAAGGAGUGUGUAACAUUCCUCUUCAGAGGAGGAGUAGCAAAGAUCAGACCAAUGUGCAGCGUGCGCAACCGAAUCCGGAUGAAACAGGUCUACAGGGAGCCAUUUGAGCAACACUCAGAGAGGGUUAAAGAACAGCGCUAUGAAUAUGUGCAAAGAGUCUUGGAGCUGGAUUCCGGUACAAUUCAGCACGUUUAUAUUUAUAUUGAUGAGGCUGGCUUCAACUGAGCCAAUAGAAGUGGACAGGGACGGAACAUUAUUGGCCACCGUGCCAUUGUGAAUGUCCCUGGACAGCGUGGAGGGAAUAUCACCAUGUGCGCAGCCGUUAGCCAGCAAGAUGUCCUCUAUCACCAUGCCAACCUUGGUCCCUACAACACCGCCCUUCUCAUCACAUUCCUGGACACACUACACGGCAUCCUCAUUCCAACCAAGCAGAGGGGCGGACCAGAGCAGCCCAGGUAUGUUGUCAUCUGUGACAACGUGAGUUUCCACCCGGCUGCUCUGGUCCGCAACUGGUUCAUCGAACAGCCGCAUGGCGAUGGAAAGUGUAUGACCGCCAUCCCCUCGCACGCGUGCCUCUUCUCCGGGCAAUGGAGGAUGCAUGUGGUGAAGUUUAUGUGGGGGGCUUUUGGCGGCUGGAUCCGUCACUCCAGAAGAUUCUUUCCCCGCUGUUUAGCCAGGGAGAACAUCGCUUGUGAUGUAGACGAGGUGCUGCGGUCAGACCAAAAUAGGAGGCAGGAUGCAACCUAAUGUCUUUUCUCAUACAUUUUUCUUAGUUUUUGUGUUUAGAAACCUAAGAACCAAAAGUGGCAGAUGUAAAAUGCCAACCUUG